rnacentral:tRNA from 1 species
UUUAAUUUAGUAUAAAUAAUUACUUUUUAUUUACAAUAAAAAAAUGUUUCUUGACAAUUAAAA